CAUGUGAUUUAGUAUCCUGUAAGACAUAUCUUCGCUCCCCGAUUCAGCCAAGAAGUAUGAUUUCUUAGAAUUCAAAUUCAUGCUGGAGUUUUUGAAUUCUCCCACGGCGACACCAACUAGCCCGGCGACUAUCGACAGCGAAAUAAAAAGAAAAAAGACUACUGAAAUAAGCAUUGCUGCGCCCGAUUGUGUAUUAAUUUUUCUUUUUGCUUGUUUGUGCAUUUAACUUUAUAACUUUCAACUUUAUAAACUUUAAACUUGAGCACUUCGUGCUCUGUGGGCUGGGAGGAAGGAGGGGAUGACGUCAAAUCAGCAUGGCCCUCUGAUGCCCUGGGCUACACUCAUGUUACAAUGGGGUCGACAAUGCGAUGCGAAGCCGUAAGGCGGAGCCAAACGCAUCAAACGAUCUCUCAGUUCGGAUUGAGGGCUGCAACUCGCCCUCAUGAAGCCGGAAUCGCUAGUAAUCGCGAAUCAGAUAUGUCGCGGUGAAUACGUUCUCGAGUCCUGUACUCACUGCCCAUCAAGCCAGGGGAGGCGGGAGCACGCAAAGCCCUCCACUUUGCAUAGGAAUGCAAAGUCGCGGAUAAACGCUGAUGACACGCUGAUGAACGCGGAUAAAAUAUCUGCGUAAUAUGCGUCAUAUCUGCGUAAUCCGCGCACUUUGUUCAUUCGUGAACAAAGUGGAGGGUUAACGUGAGCUCGCUGAUCAGGGCUAAGUUGUAACAAGGCACGGGUAGCGGAAGCUGUUCGUGGAACAAUUAAACU
rnacentral:rRNA from 1 species